CCGUGGAGUACUGCGGAGGACAUUACACAAAUAUGAAGGCGGGCUGGAACCUCUCGGGGUUACAGCCUUGCUGAAUUAUUCACCCUUGUCUUUUGCGUACUUCUUGUUUCCUUGGUGGGUUCGCCCACCACUAGGACAAACAUAAACCUUUUGUAAUUGCAAUCAGCGUCAGUAACAAAUUAAUAAUUACAACUUUCAACAACGGAUCUCUUGGUUCUGGCAUCGAUGAAGAACGCAGCGAAAUGCGAUAAGUAGUGUGAAUUGCAGAAUUCAGUGAAUCAUCGAAUCUUUGAACGCACAUUGCGCCCUUUGGUAUUCCAAAGGGCAUGCCUGUUCGAGCGUCAUUUGUACCCUCAAGCUUUGCUUGGUGUUGGGCGUCUUGUCUCUAGCUUUGCUGGAGACUCGCCUUAAAGUAAUUGGCAGCCGGCCUACUGGUUUCGGAGCGCAGCACAAGUCGCACUCUCUAUCAGCAAAGGUCUAGCAUCCAUUAAGCCUUUUUUUCAACUUUUGACCUCGGAUCAGGUAGGGAUACCCGCUGAACUUAAGCAUAUCAAA
rnacentral:rRNA from 1 species